ACGCGUGAGCAACCUUUCCCAUUCAGGGGGAUAACACACCGAAAGGUGUACUAAUACCGCAUAAGAUCACAGAGCCACAUGGCUUAGGGAUCAAAGGAGCAAUCCGGAGUGGGGUGGGCUCGCGUCUGAUUAGCUAGUUGGUGAGGUAACGGCCCACCAAGGCGACGAUCAGUAGCCGACCUGAGAGGGUGAUCGGCCACACUGGGACUGAGACACGGCCCAGACUCCUACGGGAGGCAGCAGUGGGGAAUAUUG
rnacentral:rRNA from 1 species